rnacentral:rRNA from 1 species
CCUACGGGAGGCAGCAGUGAGGAAUAUUGGUCAAUGGACGAGAGUCUGAACCAGCCAAGUAGCGUGAAGGAUGACUGCCCUAUGGGUUGUAAACUUCUUUUAUAUGGGAAUAAAACAGGGUAUGCAUACCCUCUUGUAUGUACCAUAUGAAUAAGGAUCGGCUAACUCCGUUCCAGCAGCCGCGGUAAUACGGAGGAUCCGAGCGUUAUCCGGAUUUAGUGGGUUUAAAGGGAGCGUAGGUGGAUUGUUAAGUAAGUUGUGAAAGUUUGCGGCUCAACCGUAAAAUUGCAGUUGAAACUGGCAGUGUUGAGUACAGUAGAGGUGGGUGGAACUCGUGGUGUAGCGGUGGAAUGCUUAGAUAUCACGAAGAACUCCGAUUGCGAAGGUAGCUCACUGGACUGCAACUGACACUGAUGCUCGAAAGUGUGGGUAUCAAACAGGAUUAGAUACCCUUGUAGUC